UGUGGGUAGCGGAGAAAUUCCAAACGAACUUGGAGAUAGCUGGUUCUCUCCGAAAUAGCUUUAGGGCUAGCGUCGAUGUUAAGUCUCUUGGAGGUAGAGCACUGUUUGGGUGAGGGGUCCAUCCCGGAUUACCAAUCUCAGAUAAACUCCGAAUGCCAACGAGAUAUAAUCGGCAGUCAGACUGCGAGUGCUAAGAUCCGUAGUCGAAAGGGAAACAGCCCAGACCACCAGCUAAGGUCCCAAAAUAUAUGUUAAGUGGAAAAGGAUGUGGGGUUGCACAGACAACUAGGAUGUUAGCUUAGAAGCAGCUAUUCAUUCAAAGAGUGCGUAAUAGCUCACUAGUCGAGUGACCCUGCGCCGAAAAUGUACCGGGGCUAAAACAUAUUACCGAAGCUGUGGAUACCUUUAUAGGUAUGGUAGGAGAGCGUUCUAUGUGCGAAGAAGGUGUACCGUGAGGAGUGCUGGAGCGCAUAGAAGUGAGAAUGCCGGUAUGAGUAGCGAAAGACAGGUGAGAAUCCUGUCCACCGUAAGACUAAGGUUUCCAGGGGAAGGCUCGUCCGCCCUGGGUUAGUCGGGACCUAAGGAGAGACCGAAAGGUGUAUCCGAUGGACAACAGGUUGAUAUUCCUGUACUAGAGUAUAUAGUGAUGGAGGGACGCAGUAGGCUAACUAAACCAGACGAUUGGAAGUGUCUGGCCAAGCAGUGAGGUGUGAUAUGAGUCAAAUGCUUAUAUCUAUAACAUUGAGCUGUGAUGGGGAGCGAAGUUUAGUAGCGAAGUUAGUGAUGUCACACUGCCGAGAAAAGCUUCUAGCGUUAAUUAUACUCUACCCGUACCGCAAACCGACACAGGUAGUCGAGGCGAGUAGCCUCAGGUGAGCGAGAGAACUCUCGUUAAGGAACUCGGCAAAAUGGCCCCGUAACUUCGGGAGAAGGGGCGCUGACUUAUGGUCAGCCGCAGUGAAUAGGCCCAAGCAACUGUUUAUCAAAAACACAGCUCUCUGCUAAAUCGUAAGAUGAUGUAUAGGGGGUGACGCCUGCCCGGUGCUGGAAGGUUAAGAGGAGUGCUUAGCGUAAGCGAAGGUAUGAAUUGAAGCCCCAGUAAACGGCGGCCGUAACUAUAACGGUCCUAAGGUAGCGAAAUUCCUUGUCGGGUAAGUUCCGACCCGCACGAAAGGCGUAAUGAUUUGGGCACUGUCUCAACGAGAGACUCGGUGAAAUUUUAGUACCUGUGAAGAUGCAGGUUACCCGCGACAGGACGGAAAGACCCCAUGGAGCUUUACUGCAGUUUGAUAUUGAGUAUCUGUACCACAUGUACAGGAUAGGUAGGAGCCUAUGACCUCGGGACGCCAGUUUCGAGUGAGGCGUUGUUGGGAUACUACCCUUGUGUUAUGGCUACUCUAACCCAGAUAGGUUAUCCCUAUCGGAGACAGUGUCUGACGGGCAGUUUGACUGGGGCGGUCGCCUCCUAAAAGGUAACGGAGGCGCCCAAAGGUUCCCUCAGAAUGGUUGGAAAUCAUUCGCAGAGUGUAAAGGUAUAAGGGAGCUUGACUGCGAGAGCUACAACUCGAGCAGGGACGAAAGUCGGGCUUAGUGAUCCGGUGGUUCCGCAUGGAAGGGCCAUCGCUCAACGGAUAAAAGCUACCCUGGGGAUAACAGGCUUAUCUCCCCCAAGAGUUCACAUCGACGGGGAGGUUUGGCACCUCGAUGUCGGCUCGUCGCAUCCUGGGGCUGUAGUCGGUCCCAAGGGUUGGGCUGUUCGCCCAUUAAAGCGGCACGCGAGCUGGGUUCAGAACGUCGUGAGACAGUUCGGUCCCUAUCCGUCGCGGGCGUAGGAAAUUUGAGAGGAUCUGCUCCUAGUACGAGAGGACCAGAGUGGACUUACCGCUGGUGUACCAGUUGUUCUGCCAAGAGCAUCGCUGGGUAGCUAUGUAGGGAAGGGAUAAACGCUGAAAGCAUCUAAGUGUGAAGCCCACCUCAAGAUGAGAUUUCCCAUGAUUUU
rnacentral:rRNA from 1 species